GAUGAACGCUGGCGGCGUGCCUAAUACAUGCAAGUCGAGCGAACAGACGAGGAGCUUGCUCCUCUGAUGUUAGCGGCGGACGGGUGAGUAACACGUGGAUAACCUACCUAUAAGACUGGGAUAACUUCGGGAAACCGGAGCUAAUACCGGAUAACAUGUUGAACCGCAUGGUUCAACAGUGAAAGACGGUCUUGCUGUCACUUAUAGAUGGAUCCGCGCCGCAUUAGCUAGUUGGUAAGGUAACGGCUUACCAAGGCAACGAUGCGUAGCCGACCUGAGAGGGUGAUCGGCCACACUGGAACUGAGACACGGUCCAGACUCCUACGGGAGGCAGCAGUAGGGAAUCUUCCGCAACGGGCGAAAGCCUGACGGAGCAACGCCGCGUGAGUGAAGAAGGUCUUCGGAUCGUAAAACUCUGUUAUUAGGGAAGAACAAAUGUGUAAGUAACUAUGCACGUCUUGACGGUACCUAAUCAGAAAGCCACGGCUAACUACGUG
rnacentral:rRNA from 1 species